GCCCGCCGCCCCCGCGCCUGCCGCCCCCGGUGGGGCUGCGGGGCGGGGAGCGGAGCGGCCCCGGGGACGGCGGGAAGGGCCCGCCCGGGCUGUUCCCGACGGCGUGGGAGACUUUAAAGUUGCAUUUUAAAGCACUCGCAAAACAAUGAGCCGUUUGUUUGCGGACACCUUCUUCUCGGCAGAUGUGAGCACGCAGCAAAAGCGUGAAGGUCUCACUGCUUUUACGGCCGUCUGGUGUCUCCUGGUCUGGCUUUCACCUGCUGUCCAGGUUGCAACAAAAGCUCCUGGUCAUCUUCUUUCACUGCCGUGCAAGCCGCAAAAAGUUUGCAGCCUCUGCCUUGCUGUCGCACUGACAGAGCCGAAGAUAGAGAUCUCUGAAGUAGGAGCAGUCUGA
rnacentral:lncRNA from 1 species